GGGGAAUUGCGGACGCGAUUCGCCUUAGAGUUUGAUCCUGGCUCAGAUUGAACGCUGGCGGUAUGCUUAACACAUGCAAGUCGAACGGAAACGAUGGUAGCUUGCUACCAGGCGUCGAGUGGCGGACGGGUGAGUAACGCGUAGGAAUCUGCCUGAUAGUGGGGGAUAGCCCAGAGAAAUCUGGAUUAAUACCGCAUAAUCUCUAUGGAGUAAAGGAGCCCUCUUCUUGAAAGGUUUCGCUAUCAGAUGAGCCUGCGUAAGAUUAGCUUGUUGGUGAGGUAAAAGCUCACCAAGGCGACGAUCUUUAGCUGGUCUGAGAGGAUGAUCAGCCACACUGGAACUGAGACACGGUCCAGACUCCUACGGGAGGCAGCAGUGGGGAAUAUUGGACAAUGGGCGCAAGCCUGAUCCAGCAAUACCGCGUGUGUGAAGAAGGCCUGAGGGUUGUAAAGCACUUUCAAUUGUGAAGAAAAGCUAAUGGCUAAUACCCAUUAGCCUUGACGUUAACUUUAGAAGAAGCACCGGCUAACUCCGUGCCAGCAGCCGCGGUAAUACGGAGGGUGCAAGCGUUAAUCGGAAUUACUGGGCGUAAAGCGUGCGUAGGUGGUUUGUUAAGUUAGAUGUGAAAGCCCUGGGCUCAACCUAGGAACUGCAUUUAAAACUGGCAAACUAGAGUAUAGGAGAGGAAAGUGGAAUUUCAGGUGUAGCGGUGAAAUGCGUAGAUAUCUGAAGGAACAUCAAUGGCGAAGGCAGCUUUCUGGACUAAUACUGACACUGAGGUACGAAAGCGUGGGUAGCAAACAGGAUUAGAUACCCUGGUAGUCCACGCCGUAAACGAUGACAACUAGCCGUUGGGAGGAUUUACCUCUUAGUGGCGGAGCUAACGCGUUAAGUUGUCCGCCUGGGGAGUACGGCCGCAAGGUUAAAACUCAAAGGAAUUGACGGGGACCCGCACAAGCGGUGGAGCAUGUGGUUUAAUUCGAUGCAACGCGAAGAACCUUACCUGGUCUUGACAUACACGGAACUUUCCAGAGAUGGAUUGGUGCCUUCGGGAACCGUGAUACAGGUGCUGCAUGGCUGUCGUCAGCUCGUGUSGUSMRMMRUUGRGUUAAGUCCCGUAACGAGCGCAACCCUUAUCCUUAUUUGCCAGCACAUCAUGGUGGGAACUAUAAGGAGACUGCCGGUGAUAAACCGGAGGAAGGCGGGGACGACGUCAAGUCAUCAUGGCCCUUACGACCAGGGCUACACACGUGCUACAAUGGGAAGGACAAAGGGUUGCUAAGCCGCGAGGUGGUGCUAAUCUCAUAAACCUUUUCGUAGUCCGGAUCGGAGUCUGCAACUCGACUCCGUGAAGUCGGAAUCGCUAGUAAUCGUAGAUCAGAACGCUACGGUGAAUACGUUCCCGGGUCUUGUACACACCGCCCGUCAUACCAUGGGAGUGGGUUGCACCAGAAGUAGCUAGUCUAACUGUUUACAGGGGACGGUUACCACGGUGUGAUUCAUGACUGGGGUAAAGUCGUAACAAGGUAACCAAUGGCGAAUCGUAACUUAACGGCU
rnacentral:rRNA from 1 species